GGAUGGCACUGGAGCGUCAGGCCCAUACCCAGCCAUCACCGGCAGUCGAUGGAAUGCGAGUGCCUUAGAGGUCUUGGGGCCAAAACGAUCUCAAC
rnacentral:miRNA from 10 species